rnacentral:rRNA from 1 species
AGCUAAUCUGUAAAGUUGGUCUCAGUUCGGAUUGAGGGCUGCAAUUCGCCCUCAUGAAGUCGGAAUCACUAGUAAUCGCGAAUCAGCCAUGUCGCGGUGAAUACGUUCUCGGGUCUUGUACACACCGCCCGUCAAAUAUGAGAGCUGGUAAUAUC